CACAACCUGGUUGAUCCUGCCAGUAGUCAUACGCUCGUCUCAAAGAUUAAGCCAUGCAUGUCUAAGUAUAAAUAUUUUACUUUGAAACUGCGAACGGCUCAUUAUAUCAGUUAUAGUUUAUUUGAUAGUCCCUUACUACUUGGAUACCCGUAGUAAUUCUAGAGCUAAUACAUGCGUCAAUACCCUUCUGGGGUA
rnacentral:rRNA from 1 species